rnacentral:rRNA from 1 species
GAUGAACGCUAGCGGCGGGCUUAAUACAUGCAAGUCGAGGGGCAUCAAGGUACACGAAAGUGUAUUGUUGGCGACCGGCGGACGGGUGAGUAAUAGGUAGGUAACCUACCUCAUACUGAGGCAUAGCUGGGAGAAAUUCCAGGUAAUUCCUCAUGAGGUUAUAUGACACAUGUGAUAUAAUCAAAGGUAUCGCAAGGUACUGGUAUGAGAUGGGCUUACUGACCAUUAGCUAGUUGGUGAGAUAAGAGCUCACCAAGGCGAAGAUGGUUAGGGGUUUUGAGAGAGAGAUCCCCCACAUUGGAACUGAGAUACGGUCCAGACUCCUACGGGAGGCAGCAGUAGGGAAUAUUGGGCAAUGGGCGGAAGCCUGACCCAGCCAUGCCGCGUGAAGGAAGACGGCCUUAUGGGUUGUAAACUUCUUUACUAUGCGACUAACUAGAUUUACGAGAUAAUUCUAUAGAAUGUAGCAUAGCAAAAGCACCGGCUAAC